GGCCUCAUUCGCACGAGCGCUUUAAAACGCGCGUUAAAAAAGCGUUUAUGGAUGACACAAAUGGAUACGCGUUGUUUGAUUUUCGGCUUGGGACUUUGGCCGUUAAAUCGAAUUUACCGUGUGGAACUUCUCUAGGCUUAGCGAGAAAACAAUAAAAACCGGUCAAGAGCAUGUCGGGCCACGCUCAGUGUAGGGUUCCGUAGUUACUCUUACGUCACAAUAAGCUAAACUGGAGCUUAAAGUAUAGUAAAUUGUUAACCAAGGGAUGAAACGGUACCUUUCACCCGAGUUAAACAAAUAGGCAAAUUUGCAUAAUCAGUACCUAAUUAAAGUAAGUCUUUUUACUAUGAAAGGAAAACUUUUUGCGAUAACUCAAAAACAGCUAAACUGAUCAUGUCCGCUAUAGUUUUCAUUUAAUGUCUUUCUUAAGCUCUACUUCCACGAUUUUUUUCAUAUUUUUUGGACCUAUGGUUCAAAAGUUAGAGGGGGGGGGGACACAAUUUUUUUUUCUUUCGGAGCGAUUAUCUCCGAAUAUAUUCACUUUAUCAAAAAAUGUUUCUUAAAAACCCUAUUAGUAUUAGUUUUGAAAGACCUUUCCAACGAUACCUCACACUCUAGGGUUGAAGCGAAAAAAAAAAUCACCCCCAAUUUACGUGUAGGGGAGGUACCCUAAAAAAUAUAUAUAUAUAUUUUAUUGUACGAUUUUGUCGGCUUUAUUGAUUUAUAUAUCUAUGCCAAAUUUCAUCUUUCUAGCACUAACGACCACGGAGCAAAGCCUCGGACAGACAGACAGACGGACAUGGCGAAACUAUAAGGGUUCCUAGUUGACUACGGAACCCUAAAAAAAAGACACUUUUAUUCUUUAUCGUGGUUAGCAGGUCACGAUUUUAUCGUGACGAUAAAUAAUUAAUUCAAUCGGUUGAAACGAAGGGAAAGUUCGAUAUUUUAAUUACGAUACAUAAAUAACUACUAAAACAUGUUUUCUGCAAGAAAUUAGUUAUCUUAUUAUAUUAUAAAAUAUUUAUUAUCCAUCUGUGAUGUUUAUUUCUUGUGAAGAUAUCGAAGUUUCGCUGUGUAGCACUUAUCGAUAUAUAAUAUGAUCAAAAUCGACCCGUCCACAUCCCUAAAAAUCCACACAUACACAUUUUUACGCACAUAUACAAAGCAGUAUAACCACCAAAAUGGCUACGGCUUGAGUAUUCAAAUUUGUAUUGAGAAAAGGCAACUAUAUCCUGUCUUUAUUUGCCUCUCUAUCGCUCGAAUAUGCAAUACGCAUGCACUCUUCGUCAAAAUCGGUUUCAAACUUUUUUGACUGAGUACGCGCAAUAAACGCCUAGUAGUAGUAUUUAAAUGUUUACCGUAUUCAUUUAAAGCAUCGUAGGACAAUGCCGCUAUGUAAACUGUAAGGUGGGUCUUAAAUUAGUGUGAGUUAUUUUGGCACCGGACUCAACCUUCACGUUACAAUAUUUAAAGUAUUGCGCUGUCAUAGUAACGAAAAUGAUAAACACGUCAAUCGGAGUAAACAAGUAACUAAAUGAUGCAAACAAGAAAAUAUUGCAAAAUAGGUACAUAUAUAUGUACCGAUAAUUAUUUUGUGUUAAAAAUAUGAGGCAAAUUAUACUGCCCGAUUAUACGAACUACAUAUUAAAAACGAUUAUCUUGGAAACAGUCAAUAGAUGUCGAACCACCAGCAAAGUUUUUGAAGAGGUGUAGUUCCUGGUACCAACUGGAAACUGAAACUAAUAAUCUACACUCAAGAAAAUGAAAUAUAGUCACAGAAAACCUAAUGUUUUAUUUUAUUAAAGAAAAACGUUAAAAAAAUGUGUAAACAGAAAUAUAUAUAUUUUUUAAUUCGUAGUAGAAUCACAUAAUAUGUAUUUAAUCUCCUGUACAUAGGAAUCGUCUUUUUGUAGGUUUAUAUAAACAAUAAGUACUUAGGUCGAUUUAGGCAUCAACUCAUCACACCAAAAUUUUGUUCUAACCGGUCACACCGCCAAUAUAACAAUAAUAAUAAUUCAGCCUAUAUACGUCCCACUGCUGGGCACAGGCCUCCUCUCAUGCGCGAGAGGGCUCGGGCUAUAUUAUUUGUUUCAACCCGUCACAAGUAGAUUUAGUUCUAUUAGGACACAUCGUAAUUUUGUAGCUAUUGGUCAAACUGCAAAUCUGUUCCUAUUCGUCAUUCCGUCAAACUGUUCUAACUAGUCACAAGGAGGAUACCUAAACAAAUUUCACUACCCGCCAAACGUGUAAUAUAGACCAUACAGUAGGUCUUAAUGGUGAUGGCGACUGUACAAUGGGGUUGCGUAUACAUACAAAGAGCAUUCAAAUAGUUGGUGAUAGACCAAGUGACCGAGUUACUAACAGUUAUAUUAUAUCUUUUUUAUAAAUAAUGUAAUAGCGUAAUUUUUGGAAAAAUAAUAAAGGAUUCAUGAACCA